CAGGGAUGCGCUGAACCUGGAGCCCCGGGUGGAAGGGGUAGCAAAGCCCCGCGGCCGGGGUCUCGGCUCCAGCGUCCCGCCCCGGACCAUCGGGAUGACUUGGGGAGUCUCCAAGGGCCCUUUUAACGGCCCCCAAAGGGAGGCGACAGGAAGAUUGUAACUCAUCAUACACGAAUUGCCUGCCUCUUCCAUCAGACAGUGAACUGCUUGAGGAUCAGAAAUCUAUUUUCAUCUAUCAAGGGUUUCCUCUGUGUUUGUGUGCAGCGGGUGGAGGAUGGCUUCCUAAUUGGGACCUGUCUCAGGUGGAAUAAGAAGAAUCAAGACAAGAGGGUUGGUCCAUGUUUGCCCAACUUCCCAUCAUCCUCCUUCCAGCUAAUCAAAAGAUAUUGAGCACCUAUUAUGUAGAAAACACUGGCCCAGGAUCUGGAGAUGAAAGAGGUUAAACACACAGAAUCUGGGCUUCCCUGGUUGCACAGUGGUUAAGAACCCACCUGCCAGUGCAGGGGACCCAGGUUCGAGCCCUGGUCUGGGAAGGUCCC